rnacentral:lncRNA from 10 species
UGACACAUUAUUGCUUUCCAGGAAGUGGUAGGGAUGACAAAAAAGCAUAUUCCAACAGGGCUUUGGAGAGGAUAAAGUCCAAGAAGUACUGAAACCAAGAGUCACUUAAAUUUUUAAGAAUCUUCAUUUUAAAGAUAAGUAGUAGUCCACAUAGGAAUGCAUGGUAUUCAAUGAUGAUUUCCUACAUUUAUUCAAGGGAUAGGAACAUGCUAUUGUGAUCAGAAAGAAAAAUCAAACAAAAAGAAGAGGCCAAAGGAAAGGAUAUGGUCAGAAAAAAAAAUCAAACAAAAAGAAGAAGGUGAUAAAGGAAAACAGACGAUAGUGGUUCCUAUCAAGAUCUUAGAGAAAGAGAACAUUAAGGGAGACAAAUUGGAGUGAUAUCCAACUAAUCAGAAGCUGGAUGUAGCUGAAGGACUUCUUGUUCUAAUUUAUCUGGCUGUGUCUUCACUGAGCGGAAGAAGAUAUGGUGGUUGAAGUUACAAGGACUCCUUGUUGUAACCAGGAGCCGAUCUUGAUCAAUGGAGCUACAUAAAGCAUGUUGAAAUGCAAAGAAAGAUAGAAGGAGCCUGUGGUACUGAAAACAUUGAGGAUUCUCUGAACCAGCCUUGGCUACCCCACCAUUUAACUUGAGAAAAAAUAUUUCUUUCCUCUUUAAGCUCUUCUUCUACCAAAUGUAUCAGGAA